rnacentral:rRNA from 1 species
AGACGAACCGUCCAAACGUUAUUCGGAAUUACUGGGCUUAAAGGGUGCGUAGGCGGCGCGGAAAGUUGGGUGUGAAAUACCUCGGCUCAACCGAGGAACGGCGCCCAAUACUGCCGUGCUCGAGGAAGAUAGAGGUGAGCGGAACUUAGGGUGGAGCGGUGAAAUGCGUUGAUAUCCUAAGGAACACCAGUGGCGAAAGCGGCUCACUGGAUCUUUUCUGACGCUGAGGCACGAAAGCUAGGGUAGCGAACGGGAUUAGAAACCCCAGUAGUCC